rnacentral:rRNA from 1 species
UGUCGUCAGCUCGUGUUGUGAAAUGUUGGGUUAAGUCCCGCAACGAGCGCAACCCUUAUCCUUUGUUGCCAGCGGUCCGGCCGGGAACUCAAAGGAGACUGCCAGUGAUAAACUGGAGGAAGGUGGGGAUGACGUCAAGUCAUCAUGGCCCUUACGACCAGGGCUACACACGUGCUACAAUGGCGCAUACAAAGAGAAGCGACCUCGCGAGAGCAAGCGGACCUCAUAAAGUGCGUCGUAGUCCGGAUUGGAGUCUGCAACUCGACUCCAUGAAGUCGGAAUCGCUAGUAAUCGUGGAUCAGAAUGCCACGGUGAAUACGUUCCC